GACGGACGCUGGCGGCGUGCUUAACACAUGCAAGUCGAACGGAAAGGCCCUGCUUUUGUUGGGUGCUCGAGUGGCGAACGGGUGAGUAACACGUGAGUAACCUGCCCUUGACUUUGGGAUAACUUCAGGAAACUGGGGCUAAUACCGGAUAGGAGCUCCUGCUGCAUGGUGGGGGUUGGAAAGUUUCGGCGGUUGGGGAUGGACUCGCGGCUUAUCAGCUUGUUGGUGGGGUAGUGGCUUACCAAGGCUUUGACGGGUAGCCGGCCUGAGAGGGUGACCGGCCACAUUGGGACUGAGAGACGGCCCAGACUCCUACGGGAGGCAGCAGUGGGGAAUAUUGCACAAUGGGCGGAAGCCUGAUGCGGCAACGCCGCGUGCGGGAUGACGGCCUUCGGGUUGUAAACCGCUUUCGCCUGUGACGAAGCGUGAGUGACGGUAAUGGGUAAAGAAGCACCGGCUAACUACGUG
rnacentral:rRNA from 1 species